rnacentral:misc_RNA from 1 species
GAUGAAGAACGCAGCGAAAUGCGAUAAGUAAUGUGAAUUGCAGAAUUCCGUGAAUCAUCCAAUCUUUGAACGCACAUUGCGCCCCCUGGCAUUCCGGGGGGCAUGCCUGUCCGAGCGUCAUUUCUGCCCUCCAGCCCGGCUGGGUGUUGGGCGCUGUCCCCCCGGGGACACGCCCCAAAGGCAGUGGCGGCGCCGCGUCGGGUCCUCGAGCGUAUGGGGCUUUGUCACCCGCUCGGGACGGACUCGUCGGCGCUGGUCUUCCUCCAGGCGACCCUUCGGGGCUCGUCUUCCUUCGGUUGACCUCGGAUCAGGUAGGGUUACCCGCUGAACUUAAGCAUAUCAAUAAGCGGAGGA